rnacentral:rRNA from 1 species
UACGAAGGGGGCUAGCGUUGUUCGGAAUUACUGGGCGUAAAGCGCACGUAGGCGGAUACUUAAGUUAGGGGUGAAAUCCCAGAGCUCAACUCUGGAACUGCCUUUAAUACUGGGUAUCUCGAGUCCGAGAGAGGUGAGUGGAACUCCGAGUGUAGAGGUGAAAUUCGUAGAUAUUCGGAAGAACACCAGUGGCGAAGGCGGCUUUCUGGCCCGUUCUUGACGCUGAGGCGCGAAAGCUAGGGUAGCAAACGGG